CGAACGCUGGCGGCGUGGAUAAGACAUGCAAGUCGAAUGGGAUAACAUCUGUAGCAAUACAGGUGUUAUUUAGUGGCGAACGGGUGCGUAACACGUGGGGAAUCUGCCAAGAAGUGGGGGAUAGCUCGCCGAAAGGCGAAUUAAUACCGCAUAUGGUCAGUGAAGACAUCUUCACAACACCAAAGCCGGGGCAACCUGGCGCUUUUUGAUGACCCCGCGGCCUAUCAGCUAGUUGGUGAGGUAACGGCUCACCAAGGCAUUGACGGGUAGCUGGUCUGAGAGGACGACCAGCCACACUGGAACUGAGACACGGUCCAGACACCUACGGGUGGCAGCAGUCGAGAAUUUUUCACAAUGGGGGCAACCCUGAUGGAGCGACGCCGCGUGGAGGAUGAAGGCUUUCGGGUUGUAAACUCCUGUCAUUUGGGAACAAGGUGCAUCGAUUAACUGUCGAUGCAUUGAUAGUA
rnacentral:rRNA from 1 species